rnacentral:rRNA from 1 species
ACGUACACUCCUGCGGGAGGCAGCAGUGGGGAAUUUUGGACAAUGGACGAAAGCCUGAUCCAGCCAUGCCGCGUGCAGGAUGAAGGCCUUCGGGUUGUAAACUGCUUUUGUACGGAACGAAACGGCCUUUUCUAAUAAAGAGGGCUAAUGACGGUACCGUAAGAAUAAGCACCGGCUAACUACGUGCCAGCAGCCGCGGUAAUACGUAGGGUGCAAGCGUUAAUCGGAAUUACUGGGCGUAAAGCGUGCGCAGGCGGUUAUGUAAGACAGUUGUGAAAUCCCCGGGCUCAACCUGGGAACUGCAUCUGUGACUGCAUAGCUAGAGUACGGUAGAGGGGGAUGGAAUUCCGCGUGUAGCAGUGAAAUGCGUAGAUAUGCGGAGGAACACCGAUGGCGAAGGCAAUCCCCUGGACCUGUACUGACGCUCAUGCACGAAAGCGUGGGGAGCAAACAGGAUUAGAAACCCCGGUAGUCCCA